UACGUAGGUGGCAAGCGUUGUCCGGAUUUACUGGGCGUAAAGAGCGCGCAGGCGGUCGUUCAAGUCGCGUGUGAAAGCCCCCGGCUCAACUGGGGAGGGUCACGCGAUACUGAUCGACUCGAAGGCAGGAGAGGGAAGUGGAAUUCCCGGUGUAGUGGUGAAAUGCGUAGAUAUCGGGAGGAACACCAGUGGCGAAGGCGACUUCCUGGCCUGUUCUUGACGCUGAGACGCGAAAGCUAGGGGAGCAAACGGGG
rnacentral:rRNA from 1 species